rnacentral:rRNA from 1 species
UUCGACCUCAAAUCAGGUAGGACUACCCGCUGAACUUAAGCAUAUCAAUAAGCGGAGGAAAAGAAACCAACAGGGAUUGCCUUAGUAGCGGCGAGUGAAGCGGCAAAAGCUCAAAUUUGAAAUCUGGCACUUUCAGUGUCCGAGUUGUAAUUUGAAGAAGGUAUCUUUGGGUCUGGCUCUUGUCUAUGUUUCUUGG